rnacentral:misc_RNA from 1 species
UCCGAGUUGACCCCGGCAGUCUUCGAUGAGUCCCCGGCAUAACCCGCUGGCAACAUCGAACGAGGGUUGCGCUCGUUGCGGGACUUAACCCAACAUCUCACGACACGAGCUGACGACAGCCAUGCACCACCUGUGAACGGCCCCGAAGGACCUGCCAUCUCUGACAGAUUUCCGUCCAUGUCAAACCCAGGUAAGGUUCUUCGCGUUGCAUCGAAUUAAUCCACAUGCUCCGCCGCUUGUGCGGGCCCCCGUCAAUUCCUUUGAGUUUCAGCCUUGCAGCCGUACUCCCCAGGCGGGGCACUUAACGCGUUAACUGCGGCACGGAAGGGGUCGAUCCCACCCGCGCCCAGUGCCCAUCGUUUACGGCGUGGACUAC